CAGUCGCCGCGGUAAUACAGAGGGUGCAAGCGUUAAUCGGAAUUACUGGGCGUAAAGCGUGCGCAGACGGUUACAUAAGUCGGGUGUGAAAGCCCCGGGCUCAACCUGGGAAUUGCAUUCGAGACUGUGUAGCUAGGGUACGGAAGAGGGAAGCGGAAUUUCAGGUGUAGCGGUGAAAUGCGUAGAUAUCUGAAGGAACACCAGUGGCGAAGGCGGCUUCCUGGUCCAGUACCGACGUUCAGGCACGAAAGCGUGGGGAGCAAACAGGAUUAGAGACCCGAGUAGUCCCUGUCUCUUAUAA
rnacentral:rRNA from 1 species